rnacentral:rRNA from 1 species
AUUGAACGCUGGCGGCAGGCCUAACACAUGCAAGUCGAGCGAGCGGCGGACGGGUGAGUAAUGUCUGGGAAACUGCCUGUUGGAGGGGGAUAACUACUGGAAACGGUAGCUAAUACCGCAUACCAUCAGAUGUGCCCAGAUGGGAUUAGCUAGUGGGUGGGGUAACGGCUCACCUAGGCGACGAUCCCUAGCUGGUCUGAGAGGAUGACCAGCCACACUGGAACUGAGACACGGCCCGGACGCCUACGUGAGGCAGCAGUGGGGAAUGUUGCACAAUGGGAGCAAGCCUGAUGGAGCCAUGCCGCGUAGGGGGAGAAGGCCUGCGGGUUGUAAAGCACUUUCAGCGGUGAGGCGUUACCCGCAGAAGAAGCACCGGCUAACUCCGUGCCAGCCGCCGCGGUAAUUC